UCCAAAAGCCGCAUGUCAAAGACCCCGUAAUUGCCAGAAUAAAGUGCCAUCACUUCCUUCCAAUAUUAUAUAUUACUCAAAGCAGACUUUUUCUCCACCCUCUCUCGAAACCGAUGAUACGAUUUUCUUCCCACUGAUAGUCAAUGACUUUUCUUUCCAUUUAAAAUCAGAGUAAGAGCACAGAUUUUCAACCGGUAGUACCUUCCCUCUCUGUUGCUGCAUCUUCUUAUCCUCCUUUUUCCUUUUCCCUUCUCCCUUUUUCAUUUGAGAGUUCCAUCUCUGUCUUUUGAUGUUCAAAUUAUUUUUGCAGAUUUGAUUCAUUAUCUUUAUUAGUCUAAUGUGCCGUGCUUUGUCAAAUUUUUUAACUUUGUUGUUCAAAUUUGUCUCACUGAUUUGCUCAAACGAAUCACUUAUUUCCUCUUUUCAGGUUUCAGGAAUCGCUCUCUACAUCAAAUCUCGAUUCUUUCGGUCAACAUUCUGAGCAAAGCUAAUCUACCCAUUUAAGCUUUCUGAUUUCAAGUGCUUUUUGUAUGUGUUUAACUACUUUGGUGAAACACUUAACUUAUUCUCUUUUAUCAUGUUAAUUAAUUCCUUAUUCCCUCUCAUAUUUUGAUUAUUUAUACCUUUGUGAUAGAGAUGUGGCCGAGGGCAAAACAAGGGCCUAUAACAGACACUCUUGGAACUUCUAUUGGUUCAUUAUUUAUACUUAACGUAUUAUUUUCGUCUGCUUUUUGUGUUAGUUAUUUUAUGAAUCAUUUAGGGAAAAUGCUUUAUUGUUGUUGGUGACGCCUUUCAACUGUUAGAGAGACUUAUUUUGCCUAUUAUGUAAUAUGGAUUCUACAUUUUAAUUUUGAUGUUAGGAGAUAAAUUUGACGUUAUUGGCAGCAAGUGUCGCCCUCUUAGCUACCUGUUUAUGUCAUACUGGGUUUUUAUAUAUGGCAAGUGUUAGUAUAAGAGAAUUUAUGCAUCUUAAAAUAUAUCAGUUUAAGUACCACGUCGAGGAAACAGGACAACUCAAACUAAUUCAAUGCCAUGUCAUUGCGCGUGCAGCUCACUGCUGCUGAUCACUUGCUAACAACUCAAAAUGAUAUGACAAGGGUUGGAUAGCUUGAGACUUUUUAUCUGUUAUACCUCAGAAGGUUGAUAAUGUAUAGAAAUUACUGUUAUUUUUCUGGAAUUUUUCAUGUGGAGAAUGUAAACCAUAAGAAGAGGGUCAAGGAACUUGGAGCAAAUGUAAAGAAGUUGUGUCGUCAGUAGAACCUUCAACACACCACAACCAUCAUCAUGCAAAAAUUAAAGGUGCUGGAAUGACAAGACCAAAUCCGAUAUUGCAGUCUCAGCAGCUGAAAAAAGCACUUGAGCAGCUCAAACACAAUGAAUUCACUGGAAAGAGAACUGCAAGAUAAUUUCUUAAUGUUUCAAAUGUAUUUAAAGAGGGAAAAAAUUAAAAGUUUAAUUCAGUCCUUUAAAAUUCAAAGCAUUCAAAUGGCAAUAAAGUAUGUAGAAUGAGGGGAAUAAUUCUAUAUAAAGAAGAAUAUUUCAUUAAAUUAACAUGUGAUUUGUUA